GGCAGGGAAGGACGUAGCUCAGUGAUAGAGCAUUUGCUGGGCAUGCCGAAGAUCUCAGGUUCAGUACCUGGCGUUGCCA
rnacentral:tRNA from 1 species